rnacentral:lncRNA from 1 species
AGUUCUUUUUAUUCUCUGGAUUGUGGGGGCCACAAGCUGCUCACCCUCUCUCUAGGGCACGCUCCACGCAGCUGCAAGAACAGGCUUUCUGAAACCCUGGCAACGCAAAAGCCUGUUUACCUUACUCCUUAGAGAUCUGCUUAAACAUAGCCCACAUUUCAAAACCAUGCCUGGCCUGAGCCAAUCCACACCCCUCAUGUGCUCUCUGCAAGUGCCUGCAGCUCAUCGUCCUGUUUCUGCAGACUCUCUCUAUACGGGCUGUCCCUCAGCUGUUGAUGUAAACCUGAGUUCAAAGAUCAGUUACUUCCUAGAUUUUUGUCCCUAAAUCCAGUCACUUCAGCAAUGACCAAGUUGAGUAGCAGAAGACCCAUCCUGAAGCCAGAGAACCUUCUAUCUUCUCCGAAGCAUCUCCUCCACUUGCUCAAGCAUCUCCUCAGAACAACAGAAAAACUCUUCCUACUGCCUCACUCAGAAGAGGGAAGUAAUUGUCAAAGUUCAGCAUAUAUAAAAAUCUCUCGGAGUGCCUGCCAGGAAUGCAGAUUCCUAGGCCACACCCCCAGAUAUAAAUCUGGAACAAAGCUUAGGAAUUUGCAAUUUUAACUUUUAUCCCAACAGUUCCACUGCAAAUGUGCCUAAAUCCCACAUAUUAUAUCUACCCUCAGGACAGAUAUACAAACAUUUUUCCAUUUCUCUUUUUUCCAUUCAUAUCAUCAUUAUGCGUGAUAUCAUUACUCCCUCUAGUGGAUGAUUUUACUCAGCACCUUUUUUUCUAUAUUACAAAUAUCUUGCUUAAAACUUUUAGGAAAUCCCAUCUGUCAUGAAAAUCUUGAAAGAAACCAGUGAGAGAUCAAGACAAGGUUUAUAAGAAAAAUUAUUUUGGUAAUCUAACAUUGGGCUCAUAUAUAUUUACAUAUGCAUGUAAUAAGUAAUGUGCAUAUAUUUUGUAGAGAAAUUCUUAAUCAUCAUUUAGUUGACUGAACAUAAAAUGGCUUAUCUGUUUUAUAAAAAUAAUUUGGUAGCUUUGAAUUUACU